AACGUAGGGUGCAAGCGUUGUCCGGAAUUACUGGGUGUAAAGGGGGCGCAGGCGGACCGGCAAGUUGGAAGUGAAAACUAUGGGCUCAACCCAUAAAUUGCUUUCAAAACUGCUGGCCUUGAGUAGUGCAGAGGUAGGUGGAAUUCCCGGUGUAGCGGUGGAAUGCGUAGAUAUCGGGAGGAACACCAGUGGCGAAGGCGACCUACUGGGCACCAACUGACGCUGAGGCUCGAAAGCAUGGGUAGCAAACAGG
rnacentral:rRNA from 1 species